rnacentral:rRNA from 1 species
GUGCUUUUGGAGCGGCCGAUGCCUGAUUAGCUAGUUGGUAGGGUAAAAGCCUACCAAGGCUACGAUCAGUAGCUGGUCUGAGAGGACGGCCAGCCACACUGGGACUGAGACACGGCCCAG